rnacentral:lncRNA from 1 species
AUAAAAUAUUAUUUUAUUUGCCACGUGUCAGACAUUUGGCAGCCACGUCAGCAUUUAACAUAUCCAUGGAUGGAAAAUGUAACGGUUGUAUGAAAUUGAAAUAAAAUAAUACUUGAGGUAUGAAAGUGAAAUGUUUUAAAGAUGUUGUAUAAGAUUGUAAUAAACCUCAAACCUGAGGGGCUACUAUGUAAUUUACCCAAGAGAAAAAUAAGCAUGGUUAAGCAUGCUUGAGCCCCCAACCCUACUCUAAUUUUUUGCCAGUAAUCAAAUCCAAUAGCACAACACGUGAUAUUAUCCAGCGGACUCCAGAGGUGUAGUAUAUGGAUUUCGAAUUAUACAAAAAGGAAAGACAAACUGAAGCAAAGACACCCAACUCAAUAUACAAACUGAUCCUAAUAUUUUAAGCCUUAAAACCUCCAUGUUGUUAGGUUCUUCAUUUAUUUCCAGUUACCUUUUAUAUAUAAUUACUUUUUAUCUGUUUAUCGCUAUGCUACAAGUCUUUUAGACUACCUUCAACACUUGAGUUAAACUUAAUUUUGUUAACCCAGAAAAUUUAGAUUUUAACUCAGAAAUAGUUUUUUACUCUAAUGGUUCUGGGUAAACAUUUUAGGCCUAGAUUAUUUAUUAAUGAAUUUAGGCUAAAUUUUUUUUGGGUAACUUUUUAAAAAUAAAAUUUAUGUAGAAUAUCAUAAUUGUUGCAGUCAUAUUUAGAAUAGGAAUGUGAUUCUAUAAAUCCUAGGAAAUCUGGGAAUGUAUCUUAUAUUCCUAUUAGGAUUAGAUUACCUAUUAAAUAUUGUAAUCCUAAAGGGAAAUGUUUUACCCUUCCUAUUACUAUAAAUAAAGGCACAAUGGGGUGAAUCAAACACAGCUCACAAUUAAAUCAAUCUCUCUUCUUUCUAAUAGUGGUUGGCCCCCUCUCUCGCUCUCUAAACCCUAGAUCGUUCAAUCAAAUAGGCCUACA